rnacentral:rRNA from 1 species
AUUGAACGCUGGCGGCAGGCCCAACACAUGCAAGUCGAGCGGCAGCGGGAGAAAGCUUGCUUUCUUGCCGGCGAGCGGCGGACGGGUGAGUAAGGUAUGGGGAUCUGGCCGAAGGCGGGGGAUAACCACUGGAAACGGUGGCUAAUACCGCAUAAUCUCUAAGUAGCAAAGUGGGGGACCUUCUGGCCUCACACCUUCGGAUGAACCCAUAUGAGAUUAGCUAGUAGGUGGGGUAAAGGCUCACCUAGGCGACGAUCUCUAGCUGGUCUGCGUGGAUGCACAGCCACACUGGGACUAGGACACGGCCAAGACGCCUACGGGAGGCAGCAGUGGGGAAUAUUGCAGAAUGGGCGCAAGCCUGAUGCAACCAUGCCGCGUGUAUGAAGAAGGCCUUCGGGUUGUAAAGUACUUUCAGUCGUGAGGAAGGUGUUAAGGUUAAUAGUCUUAGCAAUUGACGUUAGCGACAGAAGAAGCACCGGCUAACUCCGUGCCAGCCGCCGCCGUAA